UUUGUACUCCCUCCGUCCCAAAAUUCUUGUCUUAAAUUUGUCUAAAUAUGGAUGUAUCUAGUUACAUUUUAGUGUUAGAUACAUCCGUACCUAAACAAAUGUAAGACAAGAAUUUUGGGACGGAGGGAAUACUAC
rnacentral:pre_miRNA from 1 species